rnacentral:snRNA from 1 species
AUCCCCUCUUGGUGUUUUGGCUAACAUCAAGCGUAGUAUGUGUUCUUAUCAGUUUAAUAUCCACUAUGUUUCGAACCUGGGAACCAUAUAAUGAAUUGACUUUUGGAACAGGAAGAUGGUAUAAGGGCUUGGUAUUGCAAUACCUCCAGUAACGGUACACCCCCC